rnacentral:rRNA from 1 species
CCAAUAGCGUAUAUUAAAGUUGUUGCAGUUAAAAAGCUCGUAGUUGAACCUUAGGCCCGUGCGGGCGGUCCGUCCUCUGGGCGAGCACUGCUUCGUCGCGGGUCUCACCUUCUGGCGAGCGUGGAUGCCAUUUAUUUGGUGUCCGCGGGAACCAGGACCUUUACCUUGAAAAAAUUAGAGUGCUCAAAGCGGGCUCCGACGCUUGAAUACAUUAGCAUGGAAUAAUGAAAUAGGACGAUGGUUCUAUUUUGUUGGUUUCCGGGACCGUCGUAAUGAUUAAUAGGGAUAGUUGGGGGCAUUCGUAUUCAAUUGUCAGAGGUGAAAUUCUUGGAUUUAUUGAAGACGAACUACUGCGAAAGCAUUUGCCAAGGAUGUUUUCAUUAAUCAAGAACGAAAGUUGGGGGAUCGAAGACGAUCAGAUACCGUCGUAGUCUCAACCAUAAACUAUGCCGACUGGGAAUCGGGCGAUGUUACUUUUCUGACUCGCUCGGCGCCCCGAG